AAGAGGUCGCUCAGUAAAGGCCGGGUCCGUCCAUCCGCGGGGAGCAAACGUCCACCAGCUCAGCGGCUCUCCGGGACUAGCUUGCCCGGCUGGGGGCGGGUUGUGAAGGCGCCUUGGGUCCUCGCGAAGCCUCCACAGCCGGCCUCGAUCUGCCGGGGCUUGCAGGAGCUCUCGGGAGCGCGGCGGGGGGACGAGUUGCCAGAGGCAGGGAAGGCAGAGGCAAGAAAGAACAUCUUGGGAGACUGGAUGACCCAGGCAAUUGACAAUAGGCAACAGAGCUUGCAAUUUACCACUAAGAAUCCUGCCCACACUGGCUCAUAUCCAAGCUUAUUGUCAUCUGAUGGCUGUUUGGUGAGCUCAGUCCAGAUUCUGGUGGACAGAUGUCCACAGCCCAGAAACCACCAAUGAAAUUAAUACUAGAAAUGAGUCCAAGACUCAGAAUCCACCUUGCAAUUUUGAACAUCCCAAUGUUUGGAGCUGUUUGUAUCUGAAGUUUUGGUUCUGCCAAAUAAAAGUUAAGAGCUAUUUACAAUAUUUGCAUCCAAAUUUCAAACAACUUCAAAUUCAGGAAUAUUUAGAGUCAGGAUUUUGAUUUAGAUUCAUCUUUAUGAAGCACCAUUCGGCAAUCUCAGAAGACAGGCCAAAGAUCAAACGGGCAUGGAGACUACCCUUACAGCUGGCCUGUCAAGGUGAUGCUUGAGACAAGUUGGGCAGUGGGAAGAAGCUUACAGUAUAUCUUUUCUGUGGAUUAAGGGUCCCAUUCUGCAAGAAGCUCAGCACCCACAUCUUCCAUUGAUAUCAAAGGGAUUUGAGGAUCUCAGAACAUCUACAGAGGUGCUCAGCAUCUUGGCAGAUUGAGCCUUACAGGGCUUGAUCCUGCUACCAUUGUAACCAAUGGUGAAAUGCCCAUUACCUCCAAAAAAACCAGGAACAGGCCCCAAAAAGAUGACUCUCCAGAGCUGUCAAUGCAGCACCGUUCACAAGCACUAAAAUUCAUACCAAAAAGGCAAGAGCAGACAGUGGAACCACCUUCUCCAUACUGCACCAUGACUCUGCUUCAGACCAGAACAAGAGGGACCACCUCUGGGGAGGAGAUGGCAGUUCAGGUUCCAUGCUUAUUUGGUCCCUGGUCUCUCUACCAAGAGCACCAAUAGACUGCUCCAUAGUCUCUGGUCAGCAUGGAAGGUGCAGCAUGUCAAAUCAAGUCUCCAUUCCUCACAUUUCUCAUGUACAGUACCAUUGAAAAAUAUGUCUCCUGCAGCUUCAAACAAUUCCAUUCCUAAGUUUGGAUCCCCAUUACAAAGAGCAGCAUCUUGAGCAACCUAGGAAGAAAAAUGCACAUUCUGUUAUGAAGUAAUUUUUAUUCAUUCAGAAAUAAAACCCCAUAAUGAAAUGCCAUUGUAUAUGGGUUUUGGUACUUGCUAUACAAAAUUAGAAACAUUAGAGACAGCAAUGUCUUCUUACAUCAUCUUAUCUAUCUCUUUUUCACUGUAAGGCUGUUCAGUCCAAUAUACAGUAUUCUUUAGUACUGUAGCAUACAUACUCAAUAGCUACAACAUAUACACUAACAGCUAAUAUAGAUAGAAACAGUAGUUGAAAAUUGGAUAUUUCACAGAGUGAGGGUUUAUAGCUCAGGUUUAAGUCUGUGGCCAAAUGCUCUAAUUAUGUAGCUGAGUGAGGUUCCCUUAAAGUGAGCAAAGAAUUUGUCCCUCUGUCUUGCUGCUAGGAAAUGAAUUUAUGCCAUUUCAGACACAGUGAAAUGUCAGGACACACUCAAUAAAAUGAAGGAAUGCUGCCAUGUACAGGAUACUCAGUUAUUGAUCCCAAAGGAUAUAAUUUACAAGACAUAGUGGGAAAAAGCAUGUGAAUGAAGCAAAUUAAGUAUUCCUACUUUUCCAAUAUUACAGCCAUGUAUAUCGCAAUAGUACAGCAGAACCUUGCUAAUUCAUUCAGUGGCCAUUGCAAUGCAAUGAUUCUUGCAAAUGAUUAAAUUGUGUGGACAGGCAAACAAGAGAACGUACACUAAAAAGAGAAUGCAACACCAACUGCAUUUUGUUAAUUUAUUUGACAAGAGUAGUUUCAUUUUAAUUAUGAUCACAAAACUGUAUAGUAAGCAAGUAAUAUGAGAUUUUCACUCCAACACUCUGCUCCAAUGAAAUACAGUAUAAAGUGUGUGGAUUAGUUUAGUGAAAAUUAAUAAGACUGUAAUGUAUCUUUUCUAAAAAGUGCCAGUAUUCUUGGUAACAGAUUGUAAAGCUCUUUGGGGCAUUCCAGAGAGGUGACUGAAUGACUCACAGAGAAUAGUAUUCAAUAAACACAGUCUCACUUUCUGCACAUAGGGUGUCCAUAGUCAAAUUAGGGUUUCAAAGAACUCUCAGUCAUAUUUUAAAAUUAAUUCAUUCCCAAUGGGCUCAUGCUCCUUUUUGUUCACUUUCUGAAAACUUUCUUAGUAGAGUUUUACAACUCUUUUAUUUAAUUUCUAUUUGUAUUAUGGUAUUUAGGGGCCUAUUACAUAUCCAUAGUAAAAGACAAUCCCAGCCUCCAAACGUUUUACAAUCUAAAUAGAUAAGAGAAGGGCUACAAAAAUGACCAUGGAAGAGCUUCCAUAUGAGAAGAGAUUAAAAACACGGGGACUGUUCAGAUUAGAAAAGAGAUGACUACGGGGGGAUAAGAUAGAGGUCUAUAAAAUCAUGAAUGAUGUGGAGAAAGUAAAUAUGGAAACGUUUUUAAUCCCUUCACAUUACAUAAGAACCAAGGGUCACCCAAUGAAAUUAAUAAACAGCAGAUUUAAAACAAACAAAAGGAAGUACUUCUUCGCAUAAUGCUCAAUCAACCCAUGAACUCAUUGCCAGGGGAUGUUGUGAAGGACACACCUAUAACUGGGUUCACAACAGAAUUAGAUAAGUUUAUGAA